rnacentral:rRNA from 1 species
AAUGGGCGAAAGCCUGAACCAGCAACGCCACGUGUGUGAUGAAGGCCUUCGGGUCGUAAAGCACUUUUCUGGGAGAUGAGAAAGGACAGUAUCCCAGGAAUAAGUCUCGGCUAACUACGUGCCAGCAGCCGCGGUAAAACGUAGGAGGCGAGCGUUAUCCGGAUUCACUGGGCGUAAAGCGCGUGCAGGUGGCGCGGUAAGUUAGGCGUGAAAUCUCCCGGCUCAACUGGGAGAGGUCGUCUAAUACUACCGUGCUUGAGAGCAGAAGAGGAAGAUGGAAUUCCCGGUGUAGUGGUGAAAUGCGUAGAUAUCGGGAGGAACACCAGUGGCGAAGGCGAUCUUCUGGUCUGUUUCUGACACUCAGACGCGACAGCUAGGGUAGUAAACGGGAUUAGAGACCCCGGUAAUCCUAGCCGUAAACGAUGUGAACUUGGCGUUGGUGGGUUAAACUCCAUCAGUGCCGUAGCAAACGCGAUAAGUUCACCGCCUGGGACUACGGCCGCAAAGGUUA